rnacentral:piRNA from 1 species
UACAAUCAUGGUUAUAAGGAUGGCCAGAAC